GGUUAUCCAGAACAUGAGGAGUGGGAUGGUCAGAUUUAACAGAGUGUGGGACGACUACUAAAAAGGCUUCGGAGACCUGGAGGACUCUUAUUGGAUCCAAAAUGACGUGAUACAUCAACUAACGAAGGGAAGAAACUCCUCCCUCUAUGUAUCCAUUACUUUAAAAAAUGGCACAACGGUAAAUGAAUAUUACGACCAGUUCUCCGUUUCGGAUGAGAAUGACAACUACACUCUUUUCCUUAGAGGGCCAUCUGGGGUGACAGCAUGUUACAUAGUCAUAGGGACUUCAGUUCAAAUGGAAUGGCCUUCAGUACACGUGACAGAGACAAUGAUAUUUGUAGCAGCCAUUGUGCUUUCUCUCUCGGAGGGUGGUGGUGGUACAGUUGUUGUCGCAAGGGAUUCCUUAAUGGCCGAUGGUAUCCCCUUUACUGGUCAAUGCCAUUGUCCCCUAAAAUCAAUAAUGGCAAUGAUAUAAAGGAGACUCUAAUGAUGAUCA